rnacentral:rRNA from 1 species
CCUACGGGAGGCAGCAGUGGGGAAUUUUGGACAAUGGGCGCAAGCCUGAUCCAGCAAUGCCGCGUGAGUGAAGAAGGCCUUCGGGUUGUAAAGCUCUUUUGUCAGGGAAGAAACGGUGGGGGCUAAAUAUCUCCUACUAAUGACGGUACCUGAAGAAUAAGCACCGGCUAACUACGUGCCAGCAGCCGCGGUAAUACGUAGGGUGCAAGCGUUAAUCGGAAUUACUGGGCGUAAAGCGUGCGGCAGGCGGUUUUGUAAGUCUGUCGUGAAAGCCCCGGGCUCAAACCUGGGAAUUGCGAUGGAGACUGCAAGGCUUGAAUCUGGCAGAGGGGGGUAGAAUUCCACGUGUAGCAGUGAAAUGCGUAGAGAUGUGGAGGAACACCGAUGGCGAAGGCAGCCCCCUGGGUCAAGAUUGACGCUCAUGCACGAAAAGCGUGGGGAGCAAACAGGAUUAAGAUACCCUGGUAGUCCACGCCCUAAACGAUGUCUACUAGUUGUCGGGUUUUAAUUAACUUGGUAACGCAGCUAACGCGUGAAGUAGACCGCCUGGGGAGUACGGUCGCAAGAUUAAAAACUNAAAGGAAUUGACGG